AAGUCGUAACAAGGUUUCCGUAGGUGAACCUGCGGAAGGAUCAUUAACACGUAUCCAACGUUAAACCCCCCGUGAACCUUCAGUGCGCUCGCACUUUCUUAGAAAAGGUAGCAAUCCCUGGUAAAUCAUUGCCGAACAGUUUUGAUUCAGGGACUUCUGCGUAGACUGUGCUUGAGCGUGAGGCAAGUGGCCUGGCAUUCCCAGCUCUGUACGAAUGGCGCAGUCACGAUCGCUAGAGGCCGACACGGCCGGCGACCGGGUCACUGGGCGCGAGCCCCCCUCGUCACCUUUGCAUGAAAACGGGCCUGCGCUUAAUUGUGCGGCCACCAAACUCGAACAACUGUUAACAAUGGAUAUCUUGGUUCUC
rnacentral:misc_RNA from 1 species